rnacentral:rRNA from 1 species
AGAGUUUGAUCCUGGCUCAGAUUGAACGCUGGCGGCAUGCCUAACACAUGCAAGUCGAACGGUAACAGAUAAGAUGAUCUCUUCGGAGUGAAUCUUUGCUGACGAGUGGCGGACGGGUGAGUAAUGCUUGGGAAUCUGCCCAAUAGUGGGGGAAAACUCGGGGAAACCCGGGCUAAUACCGCAUAAUCUCUACGGAGGAAAGAGGGCCUCUACAUGUAAGCUCUCACUAAUGGAUGAGCCCAAGUCAGAUUAGCUAGUUGGUAAGGUAAUGGCUUACCAAGGCUACGAUCUGUAGCUGGUCUGAGAGGAUGAUCAGCCACACUGGGACUGAGACACGGCCCAGACUCCUACGGGAGGCAGCAGUGGGGAAUAUUGCACAAUGGGCGCAAGCCUGAUGCAGCAAUGCCGCGUGUGUGAAGAAGGCUCUCGGGUUGUAAAGCACUUUCAAUAGGGAAGAAAAGCUUGAAAUUAAUACCUUCAAGCCUUGACGUAACCUAUACAAGAAGCACCGGCUAAUUCCGUGCCAGCAGCCGCGGUAAUACGGAAGGUGCGAGCGUUAAUCGGAAUUACUGGGCGUAAAGCG